UUGUUUUCCUGUUGUCACGAUCGUCGUAUGAAGCGGACCAAAAUGCAGCGUGAAAGAGCGAGCGCUGAUCGGGUCACAUGCAUGUGGAAGAAGUGCUGCUUGACGUCCAUAAAUAGCCGAUGUGACGACUGGACAGGCAUCACAUUUUCAGGUGCAAGAUACCAGACCACUCUGAGAUCCACAGUACUGUCAGCAGCAGGCAGUACCAGUAGUAGUAGUAGUAGUAGUAGUAUUCGGACCAACACUUUGCAUUUCUUCAGAAAGACUCAGAAGACAUCGUUUGAGGCCGCAACAAUGAAGUUCACCAUGAUUUUGCUGGGUUUGCUGCUGUCCUGUCUAGUCGUUCUGUGUAGAAGUUCUCAAUCCCACUGCUGUCCUGCCAAUGAAAGGUGCACAAUUGUGACUCUACAACACAGACUGACGCAACCGAAGGUUCCCCUCCAUGCCGCUAAGAUUGAGGAAACCUCUCUGGCUCCCUGGAAUUACACAUAUAACAAGAACGACAACAGGGUCCCACAAAUCAUCAGGAAUGCCACCUGCUCAGAUUGUAUGGUCAAAGGACUGAAGGCAGUGCCGAUUCAAUACGAGAUGAACGUUUUUCACAGGAAAAAAUGUGGAAGUACAUUUGUUAUUUGUAUGUGUCCUUGCACGGUUAAUUUAGGCUGCACCUGUGUGAAAGAGAAGAAGUGUCACAGCAUUUCUGCUAGAUGUCUUCCUGAGCAGAGGAGUGGAUAGGCCUACUGUGUAGUGGACAUCCCCCAAAAGAACCCUAUUCCCUACAUAGUGCACUACUUUAGACCAGAGCCCUAUGGCACAGUAUUCCCUAUAUAGUGCACUACUUUAGAUCAGGGCCCUAUGGCACCCUAUUCCCUAUAUAUAGUGCACUACUUUAGACCAGAUAACCAAUUACUGCUGUAAUAUGUGCUGUAGUGUGGAUGCUUCCAGAGAUCUAUUACUAUUAUCUGUUAUUACUCUAGAUUUACUCUACCUCCUUCCUUGACCUGUGAUAUGUGAUUGUCUUACCUACCUUAGUUGAAUGCACCGACAGUAGGUGGCUCUGUAUAAGAGAGUCUGCUAAAUGACUCACUACUGUAAGUGGCUCUGGAUAAGAGAGUCUGCUAAAUGACUCACUACUGUAAGUCUCUCUGGAUAAGAGAGUCUGCUAAAUUAUUCACUACUGUAGUGUCUCUGGAUUAGAGAGUCUGCGAAAUGAUUCACUACUGUAAGUCUCUCUGGAUAAGAGAGUCUGCUAAAUGACUCACUACUGUAAGUCUCUCUGGAUAAGAGAGUCUGCUAAAUUAUUCACUACUGUAGUGUCUCUGGAUUAGAGAGUCUGCGAAAUGAUUCACUACUGUAAGUAUCUCUGGAUAAGAGAGUCUGCUAAAUGACCCACUACUGUAAGUCUCUCUGGAUAAGAGAGUCUGCUAAAUGACCCACUACUGUAGUGGAUCAGAGAGUCUGCUAAA